UCGAACGAGAAGUACAGUAGCAAUACUGUAUUGUAAAGUGGCGCACGGGUGAGUAACACGUGGGUAAUCUGCCCUCGAGUUUGGGAUAACCCCGCGAAAGCGGGGCUAAUACCGGAUAAGACCACGGAGACCAAAGUCUCUGAGGUAAAAGGUGGCCUCUAUUUAUAAGCUACCACUUGAGGAUGAGCCCGCGGCCCAUUAGCUAGUUGGCAGGGUAACGGCCUACCAAGGCAAUGAUGGGUAGCUGGUCUGAGAGGACGAUCAGCCACACUGGAACUGAGACACGGUCCAGACUCCUACGGGAGGCAGCAGUGGGGAAUAUUGCGCAAUGGGCGAAAGCCUGACGCAGCAACGCCGCGUGGGGGAUGAAGGUUCUCGGAUUGUAAACCCCUUUCGAUCGGAACGAAUCCCCUCCUGGUAAAUAAUCAGGAGGAUCGACGGUACCGAGAGAAGAAGCCACGGCUAACUCUGUGCCAGCAGCCGCGGUAAGACAGAGGUGGCUAGCGUUGUUCGGAUUUAUUGGGCGUAAAGCGCACGCAGGCGGUUUGGUAAGUCAGAGGUGAAAGCCCACGGCUUAACCGUGGCAUUGCCUUUGAUACUGCCUUUCUUGAGUAGAGUAGGGGGAAGCGGAAUUCCGAGUGUAGAGGUGAAAUUCGUAGAUAUUCGGAGGAACACCGGUGGCGAAGGCGGCUUCCUGGACUCUAACUGACGCUCAUGUGCGAAAGCGUGGGGAGCAAACAGGAUUAGAUACCCUGGUAGUCCACGCCCUAAACGAUGGGCACUAG
rnacentral:rRNA from 1 species